CGCGUAGGCGGUCUGUCCAGUUAGGCGUGAAAGGCCUGGGCUUAACCCAGGAAUGGCGCUUAAUACUGACGGGCUUGAGAUUGGAAGAGGAGAGUGGAAUUCCCAGUGUAGAGGUGAAAUUCGUAGAUAUUGGGAAGAACACCGGUGGCGAAGGCGGCUCUCUGGUCCACAUCUGACGCUGAGGCGCGAAAGCGUGGGGAGCAAACAGGAUUAGAUACCCUGGUAGUCCACGCCGUAAACGAUGAGUGCUAGACGUUGGGGGGCUCAGCCCCUCGGUGUCGCAGCUAACGCGUUAAGCACUCCGCCUGGGGAGUACGGUCGCAAGAUUAAA
rnacentral:rRNA from 1 species